rnacentral:lncRNA from 1 species
UUUUAAAAAUCCCAGUUCCUUAUUCCUGGAGCCUAAAUAGUUCAUCAUUUUCUUGCUGUCUUCUUGCCCUCCUGCAGUGGGUUGAACGAUGUUCUUCCCCAACCUCCCCCCCACCCCCGGCCCGCCAAAGACAUGACUACAAAUAAUUAAGGAUCUCAAGAUAAGAUCAUUCUGCAUUCUCCAAAUUGCCACUGACUCCAAUGACAAACGAGUAUCCUUAAAAGAGACAGGGGAACAGCAGAGGGGAACACGCAGAGGAGAGGGGGCCACGUGAAGACAGAGGCAAAGGUCGGAACAAGGCAGCCACGAGGCGAGGAAGGCUCGGGGCCACCGGAAGCUGGAAGAGGCAAGGAAGGGUCCUUCCCCAGAGCCUUCGGAGGGAGCGCGGCCAUGCUGACCCCUCGAUUUGGGGCCUGAAGCCUCCAGAACAGCGGGAGAAGACAUUUCUAUUGCUCCAAGCCACCAAGUUUGUGGUAAUUUGCUACAGCGGUCCUAAGAGACCCAGACACCGAUGCACAGACACGCCGCGCACACACGGUUCUGCCCCCCAAAAGAAUUGCAGAAAGAAAACUAAGGGAGCCUGGCUGAACAAAGCCUGACAUGUCCUAGCUCUUGGGUCUGCGCCUGGAGUCGACAACCCUCACCAGGCAGGCUGCACAAAUCUCCCAGGAUGUCCCCGCAGAAUUCCCUCGGCUGCCUGGCUGUGGCCCUCCCUUCCUUCCCUCCCCUGAAGACAGCGCGGCGUGUCCGGAGGCUCCAUGGUGAGCGAAGAAUGUUCUCCAAGUGGCGUCAUACAGGCUGCCUCCGCAGCCCUGGUGGCUUCAGGAGGUCAAGGUCAAGGUGCACCCCCGCCCCAGCUCUGGAUAACCCAACUUUAAGAAAGGGUAGUCAGGGGUGUGGGGCAGCUUUGUUUACUGCCCCAAAGCGAAGUUUUCUUGAAGCCCAGGGCCCUCUCGAUGCGCUGGCCUCCAGGCCCGACCACCGUAGUGUUCCAAGGGGGACUUCAGAUCUUGGCACGCUCCGUGGGUACACCAGUUCCUGUGAACUGAGAUGUCCGUGUAGUUUGGAACGAAAGGGCACCAUGCUUUCAUGGUAG